GGCCUUCGGGUUGUAAACCUCUUUCAGCAGGGAAGAAGCGAAAGUGACGGUACCUGCAGAAGAAGCGCCGGCUAACUACGUGCCAGCAGCCGCGGUAAUACGUAGGGCGCAAGCGUUGUCCGGAAUUAUUGGGCGUAAAGAGCUCGUAGGCGGUUUGUCGCGUCUGCUGUGAAAGCCCGGGGCUCAACUCCGGAUCUGCAGUGGGUACGGGCAGACUAGAGUGCAGUAGGGGAGACUGGAAUUCCUGGUGUAGCGGUGAAAUGCGCAGAUAUCAGGAGGAACACCGAUGGCGAAGGCAGGUCUCUGGGCUGUAACUGACGCUGAGGAGCGAAAGCAUGGGGAGCGAACAGGAUUAGAUACCCUGGUAGUCCAUGCCGUAAACGUUGGGCACUAGGUGUGGGGGACAUUCCACGUUUUCCGCGCCGUAGCUAACGCAUUAAGUGCCCCGCCUGGGGAGUACGGCCGCAAGGCUAAAACUCAAAGGAAUUGACGGGGGCCCGCACAAGCGGCGGAGCAUGCGGAUUAAUUCGAUGCAACGCGAAGAACCUUACCAAGGCUUGACAUGGACCGGACCGCCGCAGAAAUGUGGUUUCCCCUUUGGGGCUGGUUUACAGGUGGUGCAUGGUUGUCGUCAGCUCGUGUCGUGAGAUGUUGGGUUAAGUCCCGCAACGAGCGCAACCCUCGUUCUAUGUUGCCAGCACGUG
rnacentral:rRNA from 1 species